rnacentral:rRNA from 1 species
UACGUAGGGGGCAAGCGUUGUCCGGAAUUAUUGGGCGUAAAGCGCGCGCAGGCGGUCGCUUAAGUCUGGUGUUUAAGCCCGAGGCUCAACCUCGGUUCGCAUCGGAAACUGGGCGGCUGGAGUGUAGGAGAGGAAAGUGGAAUUCCACGUGUAGCGGUGAAAUGCGUAGAGAUGUGGAGGAACACCAGUGGCGAAGGCGACUUUCUGGCCUAUAACUGACGCUGAGGCGCGAAAGCGUGGGGAGCAAACAGG